rnacentral:rRNA from 1 species
AACGCGAAGAACCUUACCAGGACUUGACAUCCCGCCGACCGGUCUAGAGAUAGGCUCUCCCUUCGGGGCAGCGGUGACAGGUGGUGCAUGGUUGUCGUCAGCUCGUGUCGCGAGAUGUUGGGUUAAGUCCCGCAACGAGCGCAACCCUUGGAUUGUGUUGCCAUCAUUUAGUUGGGCACUUACAAUCGACUGCCGGUGACAAACCGGAGGAAGGCGGGGAUGACGUCAAAUCAUCAUGCCCCUUAUGUCCUGGGCUACACACGUGCUACAAUGGGCGGUACAAAGGGAUGCGAAGCCGCGAGGUGGAGCCAAUCCCAGAAAGCCGUUCGUAGUUCGGAUUGCAGGCUGCAACUCGCCUGCAUGAAGCCGGAAUUGCUAGUAAUCGCGGAUCAGCAUGCCGCGGUGAAUUCGUUCCCGGGCCUUGUACACACCG